GUAGCGGCGAGCGAAACGGGAAGAGCCCAAACCAACAAGCUUGCUUGUUGGGGUUGUAGGACACUCUAUACGGAGUUACAAAGGACGACAUUAGACGAAUCAUCUGGAAAGAUGAAUCAAAGAAGGUAAUAAUCCUGUAGUCGAAAAUGUUGUCUCUCUUGAGUGGAUCCUGAGUACGACGGAGCACGUGAAAUUCCGUCGGAAUCUGGGAGGACCAUCUCCUAAGGCUAAAUACUCUCUAGUGACCGAUAGUGAACCAGUACCGUGAGGGAAAGGUGAAAAGCACCCCGGAAGGGGAGUGAAAUAGAACCUGAAACCGUGUGCUUACAAGUAGUCAGAGCCCGUUAAUGGGUGAUGGCGUGCCUUUUGUAGAAUGAACCGGCGAGUUACGAUUUGAUGCAAGGUUAAGCAGUAAAUGUGGAGCCGUAGCGAAAGCGAGUCUGAAUAGGGCGUUUAGUAUUUGGUCGUAGACCCGAAACCAGGUGAUCUACCCUUGGUCAGGUUGAAGUUCAGGUAACACUGAAUGGAGGACCGAACCGACUUACGUUGAAAAGUGAGCGGAUGAACUGAGGGUAGCGGAGAAAUUCCAAUCGAACCUGGAGAUAGCUGGUUCUCUCCGAAAUAGCUUUAGGGCUAGCCUCAAGUGAUGAUUAUUGGAGGUAGAGCACUGUUUGGACGAGGGGCCCCUCUCGGGUUACCGAAUUCAGACAAACUCCGAAUGCCAAUUAAUUUAACUUGGGAGUCAGAACAUGGGUGAUAAGGUCCGUGUUCGAAAGGGAAACAGCCCAGACCACCAGCUAAGGUCCCAAAAUAUAUGUUAAGUGGAAAAGGAUGUGGCGUUGCCCAGACAACUAGGAUGUUGGCUUAGAAGCAGCCAUCAUUUAAAGAGUGCGUAAUAGCUCACUAGUCGAGUGACACUGCGCCGAAAAUGUACCGGGGCUAAACAUAUUACCGAAGCUGUGGAUUGUCCUUUGGACAAUGGUAGGAGAGCGUUCUAAGGGCGUUGAAGCAUGAUCGUAAGGACAUGUGGAGCGCUUAGAAGUGAGAAUGCCGGUGUGAGUAGCGAAAGACGGGUGAGAAUCCCGUCCACCGAUUGACUAAGGUUUCCAGAGGAAGGCUCGUCCGCUCUGGGUUAGUCGGGUCCUAAGCUGAGGCCGACAGGCGUAGGCGAUGGAUAACAGGUUGAUAUUCCUGUACCACCUAUAAUCGUUUUA
rnacentral:rRNA from 1 species